AUUUGCUUUGCUUUGCUUUGCUUUUCGUUUUCUCUGCAAGGUCUGUUCCUCCCCUGGCUCGUGCCUCGAGGUAAACCUGGUCGGAACAGCUUUUUCUUACUCAUUCCAAUCAUGGGUUGUGUUGCCCAGGUUGAUUCCAAUAAAGGGAUAUAUUUGUAUUUAUAGGUGCAGUUUUAUUUUUUGUGGGAAAGAGGAGUGUUUGAACUGAACAGGAAUGGAGCUAUGGCGUUGCCCAGGAAUUGGCUGUCAGUGGAAGAGGCUUGGCAGGGUGUGUGUGAUUGUAGUGGGGAGGAGACUGAGGCUGGAAACAAGGAAACCCUUCAAAAUGGUCUGUCGACUGCACUGUCAUGUGCUAAAAGGGGCACAGACGGUUCGCCACACGUCUUUCAUUUUACUGUGUAAAGCAAAGCAAGGACAUUAUACUGAAUGAAACAUCGUCUUAAGCACAACCCAUUCGGCUAUUAGAAACAUAACAUUCACGUCGUAUCUUGUCAUGGUUUUACUGAAACGAGACCCAUGGAAAAGCAGACAAGUUUAGCUCGGGACUGUUGCACUGAUGAAAAAUAUCAAGGGUUCUACAAUGACCAAGGAAAUGAUAUUUGUCGAAUACUGUUUCAACCUCU